GGUGUCCUGCCAGCUCGUCCACAGCGGCCCCGAGGGCUUUUUUCCUGACCUUUUUUGGGCCCCGUUGUCGGGCUCUAGCGUGCUCAGAGCAACCUCCGAGCUGAGACCAUUGUCCUUUGAUCUAGUUGUGACCUAGUCCAGUAUCCUGGCCACAGUGGCUGGAGCCCUCCUUACGUCCUGUCUGACCAACAGUGGCCCCAGAAUGCUGGGUUCUCCAGAUUCUGCCUUUCCCCAGGAAAGGGGAGUAGAGGAGGAGGGAAUGACUUCUGGGCUCCUGAUGGCCAGGUCCCUGGUGAGUUAUGGUUUCUUCUCUCUCCUGACAUUCUGCUUUGUUCCUCUUUCCCUUGUCCCCCGGCCUGUCCAGGGAUGACCGAAG
rnacentral:lncRNA from 1 species